UAACACGUGAGUAACCUGCCCCCGACUUCGGGAUAAGCCCGGGAAACUGGGUCUAAUACCGGAUAUGACGACCGAAGGCAUCUUUGGUUGUGGAAAGUUUUUUCGGUUGGGGAUGGGCUCGCGGCCUAUCAGUUUGUUGGUGAGGUAAUGGCUCACCAAGACGACGACGGGUAGCCGGCCUGAGAGGGCGACCGGCCACACUGGGACUGAGACACGGCCCAGACUCCUACGGGAGGCAGCAGUGGGGAAUAUUGCACAAUGGGGGAAACCCUGAUGCAGCGACGCAGCGUGCGGGAUGACGGCCUUCGGGUUGUAAACCGCUUUCAGCAGGGAAGAAGCCUUUCGGGGUGACGGUACCUGCAGAAGAAGUACCGGCUAACUACGUGCCAGCAGCCGCGGUAAUACGUAGGGUACAAGCGUUGUCCGGAAUUAUUGGGCGUAAAGAGCUCGUAGGUGGUUGGUCACGUCUGCUGUGGAAACGCAACGCUUAACGUUGCGCGUGCAGUGGGUACGGGCUGACUAGAGUGCAGUAGGGGAGUCUGGAAUUCCUGGUGUAGCGGUGAAAUGCGCAGAUAUCAGGAGGAACACCGGUGGCGAAGGCGGGACUCUGGGCUGUAACUGACACUGAGGAGCGAAAGCAUGGGGAGCGAACAGGAUUAGAUACCCUGGUAGUCCAUGCCGUAAACGUUGGGCACUAGGUGUGGGGGACAUUCCACGUUCUCCGCGCCGUAGCUAACGCAUUAAGUGCCCCGC
rnacentral:rRNA from 1 species